GACGGCGGCGGCAGUCUGCUCCAUCUACUGCUGUCGGCCGGAGUGAGCAGAGAGUAGGGGGAUGGGCGACUGCUUCGAUGGGUUCAGCGGAGGGAGGCAGGGCACGGCGGCGGUGCCGCAGCUGCCCGGCCACGGCUGGAGAGAGAGAGGUGGACUGGUCUGGGCUGAGUGUUGUCGAGGUCAGGACGGCGGCAGCUAUGGGUUGCUGUCGCCGAGAAAGAGAAGCCGAGGGAGGCGGCGGCGUCCCGUCGUCGCCAAGGAGGAGAGAGAAUAGGGGAGAUCGACGGGUGGCUAGGUCAGAGGGAGAUGAGGCCG
rnacentral:lncRNA from 1 species